GAGUCCAAGCGCAGCCCUGGGAGGGGGGAGGGGGUUUCCCAACAAGUCUCUCUCGUGGGCUCUUCCUCCCAGGGGCCAAAAUGGCGGCCUCGGCGGCGGCGUCUUCACAGGAGCCUCUUCCUCCUCCUCCUAAGAAGGUCGUGGCUCCCACUGUCUCCCAGAUCAACGCGGAGUUCGUCACGCAGUUGGCAAAUAAGUACUGGGCCCCACGUGUCAAGAAAAAACUACCCUUUGAGUCAAAGGUUAUUGAAGAUGUAUAUGGAAAAGAAAUUGUUAAAUCAAAGUAUG